GUCUAUGGCCAUACCACCCUGAACGUGCCCGAGCUCCUCUGAUCUCAGAAGCUUAGCAGGGUUGGGCCUGGUUAGAACUUGGAUGGGAGACUGCCUGGGAAUAUUGGGUGCUGUAGGCU
ensembl:rRNA 5S_rRNA 5S ribosomal RNA